rnacentral:rRNA from 1 species
CCUACGGGUGACAGCAGUGAGGAAUAUUGGUCAAUGGGCUUACGCCUGAACCAGCCAAGUCGCGUGAGGGAAGACUGCCCUAUGGGUUGUAAACCUCUUUUGUCAGGGAGCAACGCCGGCUACGUGUAGCCGGACUGAGAGUACCUGAAGAAAAAGCAUCGGCUAACUCCGUGCCAGCAGCCGCGGUAAUACGGAGGAUGCGAGCGUUAUCCGGAUUUAUUGGGUUUACAGGGUGCGUAGGCGGAAUGCCAAGUCAGCGGGAAAAUCGCGGGGCUCAACCUCGCUCCGCCGUUGAACCUGGCGUUCUUGAGUGGGCGAGAAUUAUGCGGAAUGCGUGGUGUAGCGGUGAAAUGCAUAGAUAUCACGCAGAACUCCGAUUGCGAAGGCAGCAUACCGGCGCUCAACUGACGCUGAAGCACGAAAGUGUGGGUAUCGAACAGGAUUAGAUACCCGGGUAGUC